CUGACCUUAGCUUAGUUGGUAGAGCGGAGGACUGUAGAUCCUUAGGUCGCUAGUUCGAAUCCAGUAGGUCGGA
rnacentral:tRNA from 1 species